GCCACCUAGCAAGGAGAUUCAGUUUUCAGCAUGCAGGGCACCAAGAAACAAGUGUGAAACUAUGGGCAGCAUAACAUUUCCUGUUGGCCACCUGCGUUUAAUCUCCGACUGUCCUGGCUUAUACAGCUGUUCACCUCAGAUCACAAUCUCACCUCCAGAAAGGAGGCCUGGCACAAUCAGGUUUGUCAUACUGAGAUGCCUGAGAUGUAAAUUUGUGAGAUGGGAGGAACCCCAGUUGGAAGAGGAAGAAGAUGUCUAAAAAAUCCAGAAUUUUUCUUAAGAAAGAACCUUCAUCUGGCGAUGGAUGGAGAUAGAGACAGAGACUCUCAUUGGAGCACUGGACUGAGCUCCCAAGGUCCAUAUGAAGAGCGGAAGGAGGGAGAACAUGAGCAAGGAAGUCAGGACCACGAGAAGUGCGUCCACCCACUGAGAUGGCGGGACUGAUCUAAUGGGAAAUCACCAAGGCCAGUUGGACUGUAACUGAUGGAACACGUGAUCAAACCAGACUCUGAAUGUGGCUGACGGUGGAGGCUGACUGAGAACC